rnacentral:rRNA from 1 species
UGAACGCUGGCGGCGUGCCUAAUACAUGCAAAUCGAGCGAACGGACGAGAAGCUUGCUUUUCUGAUGUUAGCGGCGGACGGGUGAGUAACACGUGGAUAACCUACCUAUAAGACUGGGAUAACUUCGGGAAACCGGAGCUAAUACCGGAUAAUAUUUUGAACCGCAUGGUUCAAAAGUGAAAGACGGUCUUGCUGUCACUUAUAGAUGGAUCCGCGCUGCAUUAGCUAGUUGGUAAGGUAACGGCUUACCAAGGCAACGAUGCAUAGCCGACCUGAGAGGGUGAUCGGCCACACUGGAACUGAGACACGGUCCAGACUCCUACGGGAGGCAGCAGUAGGGAAUCUUCCGCAAUGGGCGAAAGCCUGACGGAGCAACGCCGCGUGAGUGAUGAAGGUCUUCGGAUCGUAAAACUCUGUUAUUAGGGAAGAACAUAUGUGUAAGUAACUGUGCACAUCUUGACGGUACCUAAUCAGAAAGCCACGGCUAACUACGUG